GCCGGGGUAGUCUAAUGGCAGGCAACACCCGUUCAGUUUCCCCAGACGAGAACAAUCUGCGCAAAGUGGACGGCGUGUACUCCGGGUUCGAUUCCCGGUCCCGGCA